rnacentral:rRNA from 1 species
UUGCAUGCGGCAGCUACCAUGCAGUCGAGCGGUAACAGAUCCAGCUUGCUGGAUGCUGACGAGCGGCGGACGGGUGAGUAAUGCAUAGGAAUCUGCCCGAUAGUGGGGGAUAACCUGGGGAAACCCAGGCUAAUACCGCAUACGUCCUACGGGAGAAAGGGGGCUUCGGCUCCCGCUAUCGGAUGAGCCUAUGUCGGAUUAGCUAGUUGGUGAGGUAACGGCUCACCAAGGCGACGAUCCGUAGCUGGUCUGAGAGGAUGAUCAGCCACAUCGGGACUGAGACACGGCCCGAACUCCUACGGGAGGCAGCAGUGGGGAAUAUUGGACAAUGGGGGGAACCCUGAUCCAGCCAUGCCGCGUGUGUGAAGAAGGCCCUCGGGUUGUAAAGCACUUUCAGCGAGGAAGAACGCCUAGCGGUUAAUACCCGCUAGGAAAGACAUCACUCGCAGAAGAAGCACCGGCUAACUCCGUGCCAGCAGCCGCGGUAAUACGGAGGGUGCAAGCGUUAAUCGGAAUUACUGGGCGUAAAGCGCGCGUAGGUGGCUUGAUAAGCCGGUUGUGAAAGCCCCGGGCUCAACCUGGGAACGGCAUCCGGAACUGUCAAGCUAGAGUGCAGGAGAGGAAGGUAGAAUUCCCGGUGUAGCGGUGAAAUGCGUAGAGAUCGGGAGGAAUACCAGUGGCGAAGGCGGCCUUCUGGACUGACACUGACACUGAGGUGCGAAAGCGUGGGUAGCAAACAGGAUUAGAUACCC